rnacentral:lncRNA from 1 species
AAGACUAUUUGUAUAUAUAAGUUCAUAAUAUGAACAUUAGGUAUAUCCAAGAAAUGAAACUAAACAUAAUUCAACAAAAACCAAAAUGAAAUGCUGCCCCCGAUCUCAAGAAAUCAACGUUACGUAAACCCACCCAGUGAACUUGCGGCUCCUUAUUUGUAUCUAGAAGUUCUUGAUUCCACCAUUUGAAGAAGAGAACAGUUAUUGUGUGAGCUCUGCUUUAUCCCACUUUGACACUUUUCUUUUCCAAAAUAUUAUAUUAAAAUCUAUUUGUUAAUACAUAUUUCUUUCCUGUCAAGAUUGAACCAAGUGCAAUUCACAGAGGUAUGCCUAUUCACACACAGCAAACAAACAAAAAGUGAAAUGGGUUAAUCGAAAUGGUAAAUUUUCGGUAUCUCCACUCUAAUGCUUAAGUCAAUAAAGGCCUUGAAUUCAAGUUAAGUGAUGAGGUUUUGUUUAGAUAAGUUUUUUCUUACCUUUUUCUCCAUCGUUUUCUCCUCAAAUACCUUUUAAAAAUGGAGUGUGUGCAUUCAGGAGCGGGGGUCGUGCUUCUAUUUUUGUGCACUUGAUGGUUUCAUAGUCAACUUCCUCAACUACCUCAUGGUUUAACUGCUCUCUCCACCGGUAAGCAUUAUCCUUACAUUUUAGGCUUGCCAACUCUGUGAUUUUUCACCAAUUCGUAGCCUCUGUUGAAAAUUGAUUAAAAAAAAAAAAGUGAUGAACAAUAAUACAAUUUGACCACGCGGUGAAUAGUAAUACGGUUUGACCACGCGGUGAACAGUAACGCAGCACGAAUAGUAACACGGUUUGAAUAAUGAUAUCCAUUUGGUUAUAAAUAAGAGAGCCUUUCAUAAGUUUUGAUCAUCCCAAAUUUGAGAAGCAAGAGAAUGCAAGAGAAGUAUUGAGAGCUUCCAACAUGGGAGAGAAAUAUUCUUAAGCAAGUAUAUACAUUGUAAGAGUAUUUGGCUCCUCAAUAUGAGUACUAUGUGUUUGCUUUGUUAAGGGAUAUUUCUCAAGAUCAUGUAUUUGGGAUUUGGAUGAGAGAAAAUUAUUUUUAAAAAUAUGGUUGUAAAAAUUUUCUACAUAGUGAAUAUUUUUCUCUGGUUGUCUUUUGACAAUGGCCAUAAUUUUUCUUUGAAUUUAGAAUUUUCUACGUAAAUCUUGUGUUGUGUGAUUGGUAUAUUCUCUAUUUAAUUUUUUCUGUUAAUUUAUUGCUUGACAAUUGCUUGGAGUGAUCUUGAGAGGAAACUCAAUUUGUUAAUAGUCUCGACUCAAAACUUCUUGAUUUCCUCCCUCGAGGGAUUUGUUAUUUCUCCUCUGGUGGACCUCACCCCUUGAGGUGGUGUGAAUAUCAAUUUUCCCUAUCAACAUUAUUGCUAUUAAAAUAAAAAAUUUGUUCGAUUAUUUUUUACCUGCGUAAUAGAAAAUUCUAAAUUAUAUGAGUUUCUCCAAAAUAAAUAAAUAAACAGAGAUAAGAAAUCUCAUUCACUGAUCCUUUGCCCUUAAUUAUUAUUUGAAGUUAAAGUGACUAAAGAUGUGAAGUUCAUUCACACAUCGACAAGGUAUCAAUAUCACACAAAAGCCUUACUGCUUACGGUUACAGAUACACUUCCUUUUGUUGGUAUCAUUAUUCUGUCGUCACAUGUUAUGAAUAUCACUUGAAUCAUUUAUGGCAAACGCACUAUUCUAAAUUGACUCCAGCUGACCACUCGAAAGGUAAAAAAAUAAAAAUAAAAAUGGUGACUUAUUUCUUGUGCUGUAGAGUUGUUAUUAUUUAAAAUUGUGAGCCAUAAAUCGUCUUGAUCUGGGUAGGGUUAUUUUUGGGUCUUCCUUGGUUACAUUAUCUAUAAUUUUUAGAUUAUCUGUAUGCAACUUAGUUGCCUUAUAUUUCAUAAGCAUCAGACUUAUUCAAACACCCCAGAAUUUGCUGAUCUUUUAAAGAUUACCAACACAUAGCUUUAAAAUCCCAGGUCAUCACUGAUUGAACCCUUAUCAAGGGCAGAUGAAUUGUGUCAGCUUUGCUAUUUCUGGUAGAGCUAAUGAAAUUUUCAUCGUUUAGAUUUUGUUAAUGUUAAUAACAAGUGUUGUUAAUAGUUGAUCAAUUUUCAAUUAACACUCACAGAAAGAAGUUUUAAUUGCGUGGAUCAUGCCAUUUGAAUAUAUGGAAAGAGAAAUUAGAUGUGCUAAAUCACUAAUAUAGCUGGGGUGGUCCAAACUCUUAAUCCAUGAUGGUAAAACAACCAACUAAUGAGCAAAAUUGUAGGAAGCAAAAAUCAAUGCAAAGGAAAUCAAACAAGUACGAAUAAUGUGUCUAAGUGACUUCAUGUUUUAUAUAUUAUGGUUUGGCUGUAGCUUAAAUUACAUCACUGAAGUAUUUCAUAAAUAAUUAUUGUUAUAAUUUAAAAAUUAAGUUAAUUUUAUACAAAGACAUAUAUAAAGAGUGUGAAUUCAAAUAUAAGUUUUUCGUUUAAUUAACUCACGCCUUAUUGAAGCCGAUGGAAUGCUGCUUCUUUACAACUGAAACUAAAAUUUGGCUUAAAUUUAGAUUCGAAUGUCUUCCACUCCUACUCAUACUUUAUUAGCGCGAGACGCGAUUGAUUAAACUGCAGUUUCUUUUUUCUCUUGGGUGGGUUCUAAAGUUAUAACAUCAAAAGUAGUACACAAUAAAAUAAUAUGAGUUAACCUUUCAAAAUUUUAAUAGUGGAAUGGCGUGGCUGAAUAUUUUGAUAAUUAAGUUUGAAUUCUUUAUUAUUAUUAUUAUUAUUAUUGCAAGUAGUUAAGAAAAGUCACGACCGACAGAUCGUGACAACAUAUCUUAUCUGCGAUCACCGUUAUUAUAAAUUACUUAUAUUAUUGCUGGUACAGCUGUAUUCAUUUGGUCACCAACUAAGCAAAGCUUUCUUCAAGCGUACUCGCUUUUCACUAAUCAUAUCACAUCUCUCAAUUGCCUGCCCUUUUGCCAGAAACAGAGGACGCAUUAACAUUAACGCUGGUACCAUUUGUGGAACAACUCUCAAAAAUUCUAAAACGGUGACGUUGAACUUCCUUACGUGGGUUUUGCUCAAUCAACAACUCAUCCAACCAAAAGAAGUUUUACUUUCAUUCAAUUGCAAUUCCCAUUAGUAAAAUAUGUGGUUUUGAGUCCUUUGACAAAACCUGUAUGAGAUUAGAUAACUAAAAUGGAGGGCUAAAAGAAACAACCUAAGCUAGUAAUUCAGUCCAUACUAUGAUACCAUCCGGCCUAUCCCUCAUUGUAAAACUUGCAGAGGGUCAUCGAUGGGAGAAAAAACAAAAAAUAUGAUUCAAGCAAUGUAAUGUGCCAGAGGACCAUUGGAAUGGUACUAACCAAUUGAUGGCACUUCAUUUGCCGGUCACUCACUCUGAUUUUGGUUUUGAAGAUUUUCUUCUUGAUGUUUGAGAUCCACUUGUACAUCUCCCGACAAACUUUAGAACCUCAUCGAUCAAUACCACAGGGAAUGCAAUGGCCAAUACCAAGAGCCAUUCGUUAAAGCUUAAGGGCACGAUACCAAAAAUUUGAGCUAGGAAUGGCACGUAGAGGAUCAAGAAGUGUAGGCCAAAGGAGACGGACAUAGCCAAAAGGAGCCACGGGUUGACCCAUGGGGGCAUUGUCAAUAGGCUUCCAUCCUCAGAGAGGGCAUUGAGCGAGUUAAACAUUUCAAUGGCGACCAGCACAGAAAGAGAAAGUGUCAUUGCUUUUACUUUGCCGCCAUGGAAAUAAUCACAAGGGUUAUCAUUGAAUGUGAAAACCUGAUUCCCAGCUGUGAAGGGAGAAACGGUAAAAUUCCCCCAGGAUGGGCACUGGCCCCAGUUAGUGAGCUGGGAGUAUGUGACAAGGCUGUGACCGUCGCCAAUGAGAUUGAUGCCCAAGAAAGAACCAUGUGUAUACCAAAUGAUGAAAACACCAACCGUUGCUAUUCCAACAUACAGCCCGAUAACCUGUAAAGAGUAGAAAUACACGAGUUACAGAUGCAAGUAAACAGUAGAGAUCGUUUAAUGUUCUAAUGUUAGAGUUAAAUCACUUAAAACAUGCAGGAAACAGACAAGACAAUACCAGAUAGCGGAACAAAAUCCAAGCAGAAAUUAGUGAGUCAUCACUCCGACGAGGGGGUUUCUUCAUUAUGUCUUUAUCUGGAGGAUUGAAUCCCAAUGCUGUUGCAGGAGGUCCAUCCGUAACAAGAUUGACCCACAGAAGCUGGACAGGUAUCAGGCCUUCAGGUAUACCUAAAGCUGCUGUAAAGAAUAUAGAGGCGACCUCACCGAUGUUUGAAGAUAUCAUGUACCUGAGAUAGGUGUUAAAAACUCACUAAGCAUAAACUCAUGCAUUAGAACCUAGGACGGAAUUCCAGGAGUAAUAAAAUGUAAUAAUCAAGGUUUAAUAGUUAAACUCGGCUGACAAUCUCUUCCAAAGUGGUUAUAUAUGACUGGAAUAACAUGAUAUUAGCAGUCUAGGGUGUUGUUUGUACAGAACUACAAAGCUGGGCUCUGUAAACAUCAUCAUCCAAAGUCAUUACAUCAGUCACCUAUUUGGUGGAGUCAGCUAAACUAACCAAAUCUUGAUCAUAACUCAUUGGGGUCACUCAGCUGAGUAUUUACUAGAUUGGCUUCUUUUACCCAUAAAUGUUUCAAAGACCAGUAUUUUGGGUAUCGUUCUUCAGUCUAUGAAUCUUUAGAUCAAUUAUUAGUUGCUGCCAAGCUUAAAGAGCUGAUUUGGUUAUUCUAAAAAGAAAACAUCAUGUUGGCAUUACUUUCCAGAGAAAGUGAAUUUUUAUUACUCCAACAAUCUGGUUAUUUUCAUUAUUUCAACAUUAUUUUUCAAAGAAUAUAACAGCCACAAAUCAAUAAAUAUGUCCAUUACUGUUGCACAACAAAAACAACUAAUAAUUUGAGGGGACUACUUAGGAAAAGGGAAAAAGAAGAACCAACCAACCUGAUAAAAGCCUUCAUGUUGUUGUAAAUGGAUCUGCCCUCACCAACAGCAGAAACAAUGGUACCAAAAUCAUCAUCUGCCAAUACCAUGUCGGAAGCUUCCUUUGCAACCUGGAUGCAGAGAAAUGAUGAGAAUCAAUGGGGAAAAAAGUAGGGAAAAAUAAAAGUUCAAACUAUAGUGUAAAACUCUAUAAAACAGUGUAAUCAUCAAUGUCCAUCAUUCCCGCUAAGUCCCUGCUCAAACCACUUCAUAAUAGGCAACAUACGUCAGGUUACAUAGUUUGUACCAUUCCAGGUUAACUGAAAUAACAUGUUAUCCAACCAAAAGAAAAAGAAUUUCUUUAAUUACUUCUACUUCUAGAUCUUACAUAAAUCUCCAAAAUUAUAUAGCAAUGCAAUUUUCCCACUGAUUUGUUUGUUCUACUCAAAUGAGGGUGCCUUAGAAAGUAAUGUAACAUGAAGUUUGUCUGAAAAAUUAGGGAAAAAGAUAAACUACCUCGGUUCCAGCAAUCCCCAUGGCAAUUCCAAUAUCAGCCAGUUUCAGAGCAGGAGCAUCAUUUACUCCAUCACCAGUCAUGGCAACUACCUCCCCAUCUUCUUUAAGCAGUCUCACUAUCUCUUGCUUGUGCCUUGGUUCAGCCCUAGAAAACAAAAGCCCACUGCUUUGUCUUAAAUGGGCUUUCUUAUCAUGCAUCUCCAUGAACUCUUUGCCUGUCAAACUGUUCAAACUAAUGUCUUCAUUACGUUCAAAUACACCUAUUUCACGACAUAUGGCUUCUGCUGUGUUCUUGUUAUCUCCUGUAAUAACCAUAACACGAAUUCCAGCUGCUCUACAGUCCUCAAUUGCUUGAUGAACCUCAUUACGAGGAGGAUCCUGUGAAGAUUUAGAGAGAUAACUAUCCACAGUCAGCUCAUAAAUAUAAUCAAAUUACUAAUAGAACAAUUUAGAAACUAGAUAUAUUACUACUCACCCUAAGUCCAACCAAGCCAACAAAAGUAAGCCCGCACUCAAUUGACGCAUAGUUCGAUGGAUUAAGUAGAAGUGUAUGAGCUGGAUGAUCUUCAUUGCCAUCAUAAGUUUCAAAAUCAGGUAGCUCAUCUUUGUAUGCAAAACCCAAGCAUCGUAAUGCACCAGUUGACAUUUCAUGAAGUGCAUCUAAGAUGAGGUUCCUUGACUUAUGAUCUAGUGGUACAACUGAACCAUCAAGCAACUGCAUCUUGGUGCUCCUCUCCAAUACAUUCUCUACAGCACCCUGCCACAUCAGCACUUCAUGUAAGAACUCUCUAGAAUUUUGUACAAAUGCAUCAUCAUUGUUGUAGAGGAAAGUCCUCCUUUACUGGACCAUUUAUGUCUUGCAUGAUUUCACAAGGAGGCAUAAAGUUCCAAUAAUACGGGCAGGGAUGAAUGAAACAUAAAUUCCAUAAACAACUAAGAAAAACUAGGACCACAUAUAAAAUGAAUUGAAGUCAUGAGUUCAUAGACUACCAAUGACACAAUUUCACAAGGGGUCAAAGAAGUAUCACAAACAACCAAAAUUAACUUUGGUAGACAGAAUCAAUGUUGUGGUCUUAAACUUUGGCAACCUUCCAUUGUUUCUGAUUUUUACUUUAACCAUGAAUGAAAAGAAUGAAAAAAAUGAAAAUGCAAAACCGUGUGCCAUUAUAAGAACUGGAAUAAGCUAAUAGAUAUAGUGCUAUUGGGACAUCUAUAUUUGGAAAUACUGUUGCAUUUUUUUUUAUUGACCCUCAUUUAAGAAUGGAGGGGGAGCAGAUAGAGAGAGAGAAAGAUGGGGUGCGAUAGGGAAAGAGCACCUUGACGAACAAUGAUCUUUUCCCUGACCGGGAGUUGACAAUAACACCCAUGGACUUCCUAUCACGAUCAAACUCAAGAGUAGCAAUUCGACGUUCAUAUUCGUUCCACAUUCGGCAGCAACCUUAAUAACAUUAAACAUGAAAUAAAAGCAUGUAAAUUUUCUAGCUUCAAAAGUUUUAAUAGCAAGGGAAAGUUAGGCUAAUAACAUUAAACAUGAAAUAAAAGCAUGUAAAUUUUCUAGCUUCAAAAGUUUUAAUAGCAAGGGAAAGUUAGGCUAAUAACAUUAAACAUAAAAUAAAAGCAUGUAAAUUUUCUAGCUUCAAAAGUUUUAAUAGCAAGGGAAAGUUAGGCGAAAAAAUGGAAUUAUAUCAUGGUUUAACAUACUUAGAAUUUCACCACCAAUUCUUGAUUCGUAAUCUCUAGAUCCUUCGGGAAGCCCCAUUUUCUCAACUAGAACCUGAAAUGACAAGAGGACGAAUCCAAUCAAGAUUCCAAAGCAGCUACCAUUUCUUAAAUACUAUGGAUCAACUCCAAUAGAGAAACAAAAUAAAUUACCAUAUAUAGCAAACACAUAUUCUUCAAAUUGCAUCUGAAAAGUGGUAGUUCACUAUGUACUCAAGAGCAAAAGAAAAAAACAAGGCUAAGAGAAACAAUUGGAACAAUUAUCACCUUUGAUAUCGUAUAGCAUUGGUACAUGAAUAAAGAAAUACAGUAAAUCAAAUUCAUUAAACAGGGACAAAAAACUAUUUUUUGUAGCAAAUGCAUGCUCACUAAAUCACAUUAACCAAAAAAUGAUUCAAAAUUGAUCACAUGCAUGAGCAUAAACUUCAAAAGCACUAUAUAACAAAAUAACAAAAAUGCUUCUGUAGAAAGAUUCAAAACAUAACAGUCUCACCUUAAGAGCUGCCUCAGUAGGCAUUCCAUGAGAAACAUACUUAUUCUCUGAAUGUACAAUACCGGCAUCAUUACACACAGCAGCUAUUUUGGCAAUCAUUUGAAGAUUAGCAUCCAAUCGACCAGGGGUCCAAUCAUGUAUAUUUCCGUCAUAAGGACUAUAAGUGGUCCCAUCAACGUUAAAACUUCGCAACUUAUCCACUCCACCACCCACUGCUACAAGUUUUGCCACUGCCAUCUGAUUCGUAGUCAAAGUACCAGUCUUAUCAGAACAAAUCACAGUCGUACAACCCAAUGUCUCAACACUCGGCAGUUUCCUCACAAGGGCAUUCUUUUGAGCCAUUUUACGAGUACCGAGCGCUAAACAAGUGGUAAUCACAGCAGGUAACCCUUCGGGAAUUGCAGCCACAGCCAAUGCAACAGCAAUUUUCAAGUAAUACGUACAUUUCUCAAACGAAAACUUGAAAUUCCUCGGCCACCCAUCAACAUUCUCCCAACUUAGAAAAUACUUAAAAUUAAUUAACCAUACGAAAACACAAAUAAUUCCAAUCAUCUUCGUCAAAACCUCCCCAAAAUCAUUCAGUUUCUUCUUCAACGGAGUAUCCUCUUCGCUCUGCGAGGCAGCAUAAAUUUGGUUAUGCACUUUCCCAAUCUCAGUCUCCAUUCCAAUCUGCGUAACCAAGCACACACAAUUCCCAUUCACAAUAGUGGUCCCAGCAAAAAGCAUACAUUUUUUCCCUUGAAUAUCCGUAUCUAAAGGGACGAUCUUGUUCGUUUUGUUAACUGCCUCACUCUCUCCGGUCAACGAACCUUGUUCCACUCUCAGAGUCGAACUAAUCAACUCCACAACUCGCAUAUCAGCCGGCACUCUAUCGCCAACCUUAAGCUCAACAAUAUCUCCCGGCACAAGCUCCUUCGCGGGCAAUUUCGGAAUUUUACUGCCGUCGCGAAUCACCGAGGCGUGCUCUGACUGGAUCUCUUUCAAAGCUUCUAGAGCCUUCUCGGCGUUGUUCUCUUGCCAAACGCCGACGAUAGCGUUGAGGAUUAGAAUCAUGAAAAUCACUAACGGCUCCACGAACGCCGUUAUCUCCUUCUCCCCGCCUUCCUCGCCGUCGUACCAUGCUAAGACGAACGAGAUAACGGCCGCGCCGAGUAAAAUCCGAACGAGCGUAUCGUUGAAUUGUUCGAGGAUCAAGUUCCAGAUUGACGGCCCCUCGUGCUUCUCGAGUUCAUUCAAUCCGUAGAUCUUACGGCGUCGUUCCACCUCCGCGGAUUUCAAACCAAUUCUUUUUCUCACUCCAUAAUGCUUUUCGCAUUCGUCGACUGAUUUCGCCCAAGCCGGGAAGAUCUCGCGAUCCUCGCUCGUUUUUGCUUCACUUAUAACUUUCCGUAGCCCGUAGUCUUCGCCUCCUUUCCCCAUUCCAAAAUCUAACAAAAAUCAAAUCUGUUUUUGUUUGGAGGUCAAGAAAAAAGCGAGAGGAAACGAGAGAAAAUUUCAAUGAAAACGUAGAACCAAGUCUCUCUCUCACGCUCACACACACAUCGAGGUUUCUGCGUCCAGUGCUAUUCCCACCAAGUGGCCGCUGCAUAGGCGUGUCGCUGUCUAGUUUCCUUUAUAGCGUAAUUCUUUAAUCUGAUUAACUUCGUUUGGUUUGUGGAAUUAGUUGAAUUCAAAUAAAAUACAAUAGAAGGAUUAAGAUAAUGAGCAAAAGAAGUUUCCGAGUAACAACAUCCCACGGUUAUUUAAAUUUUCCGAAAAGCACCGGCUGCUAAUCGGUACUAAGACCGCUAUUAGAAGGAGAGGCAGCGGGUAUAAUUCAGCGAGGAAGUAGUUUUUUUCACGUGCUGGACAGCUGGCCAAUUGAAACGUACGUACGGCAGAUUUCGUUUUGUCGUAAUCACAUUUGAAUCCUCGAUUUUUACCUAAAUCACAAAUCAAAAUCUAUUUAGUUUAUACUUUAAUGACUUCUACAGCAAAUGAAGGAUCGGGAGUCCUUAAAGUUCUAUUUAGAAUUAAAAUUGAGUAAUUAAUAAUUGGUGAAAACUAAUUAUUAUAGUUUGAAAUUUAAAUUAAGUUAAUUUUGUAUUUGUAUAUGAAAAAUUUAUUAUAUAUUUAUUAAUUUUAUUAAAAUUAUUAUUUAAAAAUUAUUAUUUAAAAAUUAUAUUUAUUAUACUAUUAACUUUUAUUUAUAAUUAUAAUUUUUAUUAUACUUAAAAGUUGCAGUACUUAAAUAUCAAACAGAGCCUAAAUUAGGAGUAGAAAAAAUUUUCAAAAUAAAUUAGUAGAGUUUGUUGAUGAUUAGUUCAACAUUCGAUUGGUUUUUUAUUAUAUUCAAGUGUUGAAAAUGAGCUGAAAUAAAAAUAUAAAAAAUAUAAAACCUAUUUAAAUUCGAUAGCAAUUCACAUUUGAAAAAGGUGGUGACAUGUUUGAGUAAGUGCAUUUACAAGACAAAAUAAAUAAAUAAAUAAACAAAGUUGUAUGUAUUCUAUUUUGCCGGAGGCAUAUAGGAACGUAGGGAGAAAACUACAAAUUACGUUACUACUUACGAUUGCGUCAGAACUUAGAGACCUAUUCGUUAUUACUCCAUUUUGUCAUUAUUUCAGUUGGACAAAUGCAUUUGGACUGGAACGCUAUUGGUUUGAUGUCGUAAUCAUGGGUUUGUUCGUGUUGUUCCUUCCUUUGUUGCUUCGUCCGUGAGAUUUUAAAUAUUAUUUGAAGUACGUAGAGACGCAUAAUUUGUUGUUCCAAGUUUGAUGUUGAUUUGUAGACUUCAAUUAUGUCCGUGGAAACGCGAAAUGGACAGUUUUGAUAUUUUUUUUUUUGUUUUUUCAUACGCGAAGUGUUUUCCUUCUUUUUUUUUAAUUGCUUAUAAUUCACCAAGAUUUAUGAUAUAAAAUUUAGGGUAAAUACUUACUUAACCUUGAUAUUUUAAGUUAAAUAUUCGUUCAGUUUUUAUAUUUUACAUAUAUCUAUAGUAAAUUUAAGAAAUUUAUUGUGACCAACUCAAAAUUCCGUUUCCAUUAAUAUUUCAACAAAAAAUAUUUACCUUUGUCUAUACUCACAUUGUGACCUAUGGAUUUUAUAUUGCUGCCAAUGAGAUGAUGUCGCUUUAUUUGAUUUCUUUGUUCCUUCUCAAGAAUAUAAGUGAGCGAGCUUUUCAAGCAACAGAGACAAUUCAAUUUCCUUUUCAAAAUUAAGCAAUGACAACGACGAGGAUUUGACACACUGGCGAAGGAAACUUAAAAGGCAAAGAAUAGAAAGUCUGUAUUCAAUCUCAAGGAAACUUAAAACACAAGGCAAGUAGGCGACUCAAUAAUUGAACUUAAUUAAGGCUGCUGAAAAUGAAUUAAUAAACAAUAAUCUUGAGGAAAGUGACAAGAAAAUGCAAUGCUUUUUCGUGUGAUAUCAUUUGAUCCACGUACUUCAAGUGCAUUCCUAUCGUCUUUCUCAAGAUUGAUUACUUGCAAUCGAAUCCAUAUAUCUAUUUAGUUUUAUCAUACGUAUACACAUAUAUUAUAUAUACAUGUUUUAGUGACGCAAGGCGAAAGUCAUAUUAGAUAGAUUUCAUUCUAACGUACGUUUUUUAAAACUCAAGAAAUGAACUUUAAUAAAAGAAUAAAUAUCUCAAUUGAAAAAAUAUUGAAUAUUACUAAUGUGCAGCUUGUGUGUGUUACCACAAACUAUGGAUAACAAGCCUAUAUAUAAAUUAGUACCUAAUUUAAUCCUAAUCAUUCUCAAAUAAAAGAAAUAAUCUCAAAUUCUAAUUAGACUAGAAUUACAAAUAUGACUCAAAUAAACUUAAUAAAAUAAGAUAAACCCUAAUAAAAUAUUAAAUACCAAAUUGACCUAAAUAUUAUAAGUCCUAGUAAAUUCUAAUUUAUUUUAUCUAAUAUGCUUCCUACAUCAGUUAGCCUUGUAGGUUGAAAAUCUUGGUGUAGCAAAAGUAACCAAUUGUAUUUAAUAUCACACAUAUACAUAAUUUAUUAUUUAUUUAAGUUGAUAUUUUUUGAAUAUUUUAACAUUUUGUUCCGAAUUUAUGUAGUUAGAUAUUUAGCGGGAUGUAUUCUAGAUGAGUAUUGUUUUGGUUUUCAAAUAGAAUUAGAAUCUAAUACCAAUUUUUUGUGCUUAUUUUUUAACAAAUUUUCAGCAUAUAUGCAUUUAUAACUGUGUAUGAUUAAAAUUUAUUUACACGUAUGUUUUUAAUCCAAUAAUUAUAAAUCAUAACUUUCGAAAAAAUCAGUGCAAAAAUCAUAUCAAUGUUAAAUCCUCGUCCUUUCAAGCAAUAUUCCAAUAUUUGAAAUUUAAAUGAUGUGGUUUUUGAUUUGUUAUUAUCAUAUUGUUUUAUUAAUUAAUAAAAAUAAUUAAUAAUUUUAAGGGACAUAACAAGGUAUAAUUCAGCAGCCACAUCACUUAAAGAUCUAAACAAUAAAAUAUUAUAUGUGGGAACCCUAGCAUAGUUCAUUUUUUAUUAGUCCUAAUAUAUCACAUUUAGAGGCGAACCUGCCCUGGAGAAAAUCAUUAAUACACCUUAAAUUUUCUUAUUUUUUUCAUUUAAUAAUAUAGUGUUAUCUUAUUUUCAAACUUGUCGGUGAUUCAACUCUUUUUUCUUUUCUUUUCUUUUCUUUUCUUUUUCCAGCUAGAGUUAGGUAGAGACUUGUUUAUUAAAUAAUUUAAUUAUAUAUUUAUUGAAUAGAUUGAAAUCAUUAAUAGCUAAAAUGAUGUUACUACUUUCAUUUAGAAUAAAAAAAUAUCAUGAUUUAGUUUAAGUGAAAGAAAAAUAUGUCAAAAUAUUACAAUAUUAUCACUAGUAUUAGAAAGUUACAAAUUGCCAUUUAGUAAUUUCGUAGUUUAUUUCCUUUUACAGUCAUACUUGUCAUUUUUCUUUUUAGUAUAUUAAAUUAUUCAAAUAUUUCACUUCAUCUAUCAAUAAAAUAAAAAUAAUAAUUUUUUGGUACAAUUUCAAUAAUUUAUAAGCUUAUUUGUUGUAUUGUUGUUAUUUUUUUUUUAAAUAUAUGUAUUUUUCUUAAAGUUUUCUUAUCACUCUACUUGAUAUAUGUGUGUUUUUUAAAUCCUUUAUAUACACUGACAUUCUCAAAAAUAUUUAAGAUAAAUAUAUAAAUUAGUCCGGACUAAAAAAAGAGUCUUGGAUUCAUCCCUAAUCACAUUGUGAAUGUUGAACUCAGUUUCGAGAGCAUAUAACUUUCUCUGAAUAUGUUUAAAUUACAAUAUUAUCUAAGUAUAUAGGCCGAUGUUGGGUACUAAUAUCUAAAUAAAAAUCCUCUCAUCUCAUGAUUUAAACAUAUCUGAAUUUUUUUAAAAUAAACCUUUUGACAUAUAAAUAUUUUUAUUUUAAUAUACAUAAGAUUUAUUUUUUAUUAUAUUUUUAUUUAUUACCUACAAAAUCCGGUGAGUAAAAGUAAAAAUAUUCGGCUUCAUAGUCGACCCCUCACAGUACUCCAAAAGUCGAAGCUUGAUCCAAUACGUAUUCGUUUCUUUUCUUGUUCAAUUUUGUUAUCAAUGGUCAUAAGUGGAUCAAUAGUUUGAAAGUUGUGGCGAGCGGUUGUGAAUUAAAGAAGAGUUUUUGUGCUUUGAAUAAAUGUUUUCUGUGUUUCUGUUUUCAGUCUUCGGCUUUGUUCUGGGCUCUUCCAGUCCUUUUGCCUUUUUUGGAAUAUUUAUAUUUCUCGAGUUCUACGCUUCGAAGUUUCCCGGAAUGUUCACUAACAAAACCUUCUUACGCAAGACAAGGUUAAAAAGUGAAAGAAGUCAAGGAAGCAGUCAAGGUCCACUUGAUGUGGCUAAAGUUUGAUUCUCCAUCUGUCACUGUCUGAAAACACUAACAGCGGCUGGGAUUAGCUGAUGGCUUAUCAAACCCCACCAAUUAUUUAUUUAUUUAUUUUAUUUCAAUUUCAGAUAAAAAAUAAUAUUAAAAAAUAAAAUUUAGUUGCUUAAAAUUGUGGGUGGGUAACGGUUCGGCUCAAUUUUAAAUGGAAUUGAACCGUCUGUUUUUGAAGAAAUAAUAAAUUUUGAAACGGUUCAGUUUUUUCUAUUUUAAACCUUACUUUUCUUUUCUAAUAUUUUCAGUUUUUAAUUUUUCUCGUAUAAAUUGAUUGAUUUAUUUUAAGGAACCAAACCGUGGGUUAUUUUUCAGGACCUUUUUUUUUUUUUCGGUCCAUCAUAUUAAAGACAGCAGUUGAAGUUGAAAUCAUUGUCAUUUUGUUAGACUAUUUUGAAAGGAAAUCUUGAAAGUGAAAUUGCCAAAGAAAUAAUGAGAAAAACUAUAGUGCAACUGUGGCACGAUACCACAAUUGCAUCGUAGCCGGACCAAAAGAUAAUAAUACAAUAAUUGUUGUUAUAAAAGUUUAACUUGAAUGAUUUUUAAAGUUUUUUACCUGACAAUACUCAAAUUUUGAAAGAGAAAGAGUUAAAAAAGAAAAAAAAAGUCAUUGUGAUAAAUUAUAUACUCUUCUAUUGGUCGUUAAUGUCUAAUAUUACAAGAGUUGUACUUAAUGAAGAAAUAGAUGAGAGAAAUUUAUUCUCUCUCUAUCCACCAACUUUCUCUUUUAUUUUCUUAUUUAUUUCUCUCAUAUUUUCCUACACUAAACAUUUUUCCAUUAUAAAAGGUACUUUGGUUAUUAUUUGGAUGGAGUCGGAUCUUACAUGGAAAUCUUAUUCCAAAACAAAUUCAUCAAUUGCAUUUGAUUUAAGACAACAAAAACAGGCAGCAACAAAGAAGCAAAAGAGCCCAACAAGACCCGAAUCUUUAUGUAAGCGCUGUCGGUUGUUGUCAUUUGAUUCCAAUGCCCAAUACGAACAUGAUAGUGUUACAUUGGGGGAUGCCAAAUUAUAUUGCCGGUGGGGACAUGGCGGAUUGCUUUGGUCAAUUUAAAAAUAAAACCAAAUGGAUUAAAGUCAAAAUCGUGGGAAAAUUUUUAAAUCAAAUGGGAAGUGACUUACAGACAGCGAUUAAGAAAAAGUUGGAAAAUGAAAUUUGGGUUGACUAAAGUACAUAACAACAGAGGGUACAGUAAAAAGUACACAUGGAAAUUGGAGGAGCUUCCACCUAUUCAAAUUUCAAGCUUUUGAUUUAGAAAAUUUUGGGGCUGGUCUAGUAAACCGUCCAUCUCUAAGUCAAGAGCUGGGUCCACUAAUUUAAACAAAUUUAGGGCCCAGUUUGAUUAGUGGGUGAUGUGCUAGGUUUGGGUUAGCCUCACGCGACUAGGUUACCGCAUAUGUAAUUUGCAUCCACCUCUACAUAAUUUUUAAUGACCCCUUAGUUGUUUGACUGAUAACAAUUAAAUUCUAUAAAAAAAACUUACUUACAGGUCGAUGUAAGUUACAUCUUAGGGAGACCUAGACUUACAUUUAAAAAGUUAUCCAAAUUUUUUAUUAUUUUUUUUUCACAAGUAGAAAUUUCAUUUAUGUAUAAAAGGUAACAACGAAAUUAUGUAUAUCGCAUAACUUGCAUUUCAAAAUAUAUUACAUUCUUUCUUUUACUUUUUUUACAAAAAUACCUUUCUAAUAAUAUUCUUGACAUUAAUUUAUUUAUUAAUAAGAAAUUAAUUAACAAAUUAACCAAUACUUAUUUACUAAACAAUAAAUAUUGAUGUAAAAGAAUUAUUAUUAUUUAUUUAUGCAACAAGUUUACUAGUAAUUAUUUAUAAAUAAAAUUAAUAUCAAUCAACUUAAAUCAAUUUUUAUACAAAAAUACCCUUGCAAUAAAAUUCUUGGGAAUACCAAUAAAAAGAAAUUUUUUUUUAUCAAAUUGACUUAGAAAUAACAUAAAAAUUUACACAAACUUUUAUAUUAUUAUAAUUUUUUUUUUUACUUUUAGGAUUAACUUAGGAAAUUAUUUUUCUAUAAAAUAAUUAUUAGUAAGACUGCUAUAAGGAUGUUUGACCCACUCAAAUCAACCCCCACUCUUUAAUUAACAAAAAAAUAUUUCCAAAAUUACCUUUUAAAAAUAAAUAUAGUUUUUUAUUUUAAUUUUUGGUCUCUCUCAAAAUUCGUCAUAUUGAAUUCUUGAUCUUCUAAUAUAAAACGGCAAAGCCAUUAGUAAGAAUUAAAUCUGCAGUAAAAAUAUAAUGAUUUGUAUGGGGUUCAUAUCCGGAAAAACAAAAUAAAUUUAUAUCAUGGGGUUAUCAUUGUUUCUCUAAAUUCAUUUUACAGCUAAAUUUUCUUGCUAUUCAUGCAAGCAAACUUUUCAAUUGCAUAUCAGACUGCGAUGGUGGUGAGGAAAAAAAAAAUAAACAAAUUUUUUUUUACAUUUUAAGGAUAAUUUUAAAAAUAAAAUGAUUAAUUGAAUAACGGAAAAUAUUGAGAUCAAUUAAAGGAUCAAAUAUCAUUUCAACAAAAGUAUUAUUAUUAUUAUUAUUAUUAUUAUUAUUAUUAUUAUCAUCAUUAUUUAUUUUUUAAACUGGUUCAAAUAUGCUCUAUUUCAUUAUAUUCUUAGAACUUGAGUUAAACUUGAAAUUGUCACUCUCUUUGCACAAUUUAGGAGAGUAGGUUCGCAUCUCAAGGAAUUCUAUAUUUCAUAUUUGUCACGAGUAAAAAAAAAAAAUCUAGAAAUUGUAAAUGGAAAAUAUGAGAAAUUUGAAAUUACCUGCAAAAUGAUUUUAUCCAGUCAAGAUAAGACGGUGAUCAUUCAAGAUAACGAAUAGAUUCCUUUCAAGAUUACAGCUGGACAUGAGCUGACAGCAUUUUUUUUUUCUCUCUUUUUGAGAAGAACAGGAGAGCACGUUUUUUUUUUUUCAUUUUUUUCUUUUUUUAAUGCUAGGAGAGCACGUUAAUUAAACAAACAAACACCAAUCGACAAAAUUAUAAACGACAAGAACAAUUAUUUCAUUCAAGUUUAUGUGGUGAUAAUUCAAUAUAACAUUGGGGCACGAGGAGGAUGGUCAACAGACAAAUUACCAUCACAAUAAACGUGUCAAAUAAUUGCAGGUGCGCCCCGAAGAGAGGAAGAAUCUCCAAAUUAUAGGAUAAUGAUAGCAGAAUGGUAUUGCUUCAGAAGUAAUCUUGUAUUAAUUCUGAAUUUAUCCUGAGUACUGAAUUAAUGAUCAAUAAUUAUUUUACGUGGCCCUCAAAUAAUUGCUGUCUAUUUAUCUAAUGUUUAGGAUAAGCUCAGAUCAGCACCGGAUCCGUUUCCCAAUUUUUCUUCCCCAAAUUCUGUUUCUGUACACUGUAAGUAUUUUUCAUCCUCAUUUUCUUGUAUCCAUUUUGCGUUAUGUCACCAUUUAUUUUCAUAUCGACAUUUGGUUUCAAUUAGAUCACCGGAGGAAAUACGAUGGGAAGAACACAGAUCAUCUCAAAGAGCACCGUCUGUGCAGCAAUUCACAAGGAACCAAACCUUAGAAUCGAUUUAACUCCAUGGGAUCUUAAGCUCAUUCAAUUUGAUACCAUUCAGAAAGGACUUCUCUUCCGCAAACCUUCAGAGGAUAACACCGAUACCAGCAGCUUGAACUUGAUCCACCACCUCAAGACCUCCCUUUCACGUACGCUAGACUACUUUCCCCUCGCCUAGCCACCAUCGAGCAUCGUGAUCACAGCAACACAAUUUCUGUUUACAUAAAUUGCAACAAUGCCGGCGCAGAGUUUGUGCACGCCAUGGCCGAUGGAGUCUCUGUUGCAGAUAUCAUUUCACCUGUUUAUGUUCCUAAUGAAACUGUUUACUCUUUUUUCCCACUAAAUGGAGUAACAAACUGUCAGUGUAUCUCCGAGGCCAAGCCGUUGCUUGGGGUUCAAGUGACAGAGCUUGUGGAUGGAAUCUUCAUCGCUUGCACUAUCAAUCACUCCGUUGUUGACGGCACUUCCUUUUGGCAUUUCUUCAAUUCCUGGUCUGAAAUCUCACGGGGUUCUGAUUGUAUUUCAAAAGUUCCAGUUCUCGAACGUGGGUUUCUCUCUGAAUCAGAAUAUUUUCCCAUUCGCCUCCCUCUCUGGAGCAUUGAACCUUCCGGAACUCGCACUCCACCGCCUAAUUUGCAACAAAGGGUUUUCCACUUUACGAAGGAAAAAGUUGCAAAACUCAAAGCAAAAGCCAAUGCUGAGAUUGGUAGUACCAACAAAAUCUCCUCUCUCCAAGCAAUCCUUUCCCAUAUUUGGCGAUCUGUUACUCGUAAUCGAUCUCUUGAUCCUGAUGAAGAAGUUCAUUUCAUGUUAGGAAUGGGAGUUAGACAAAGAUUGCAACCACCACUGCCACCAGAAUAUUUUGGAAAUGCAGCUCAGGUACUGGGAGAGUUCGCAUCCAUGAAAGCGAGAGAUCAACUUGAGCAAGGGCUUGGAAAUGUGGCAUUGAAAAUGAACAAGUUCAUCGCUGCGUACACAGACGAAAAGAUAAAGAACUUCUUGGAGUCUUGGGGAAAAAACCCUGAGAUCCUAACAUGGGAUAGCCUGCCGACGAAGAAUAAUGCUUGCUUCGUAAGUAGCUCGCCGAGGUUCAAUUUCUACGGUAACGAUUUCGGGUGGGGAAGACCAAUUGCAGUAAGGAGUGGUCCAGCGAACAAGGCUGCUGAGGGGAAGAUCACCCUGUUUGCCGGAGUGGAAGAAGGGAGUGUCGACGUUGAAGCUUGCUUUUUGCCUGGGACACUGCAAGGUAUGGGAAAUGAUACAGAAUUCAUGCAAUUGGUAUCUUAAUUGUUAAAAAUCUUCCGUGUUCUGGGGCUUUGCUCAUUAACCAUUAUAUCAAUGAAAGCUUACUUUUAAAUACAUUUAGGAUUUCAAUUAAAAUAUAUCUAAUUUUGAUAUUUUUGAAAAAUAAAGCCAUGGUGAAAUAAUUGACAUAACAUCAAUAUUAUAUCAGUAGUUCAGUGAUUUUUUUUUUCUUUUUGGGUACUUGCACCUUGCUGAUAUAGACUUUGUAAAUUAUUUUGAAUGCUUAACAUAUUUCUUUUAAUGUGAUCAAUAAAAGUUUUAAAAGCAGUCUAACAAAUUAAUGAUAAAUAAAUUUGUUUCAUAUUAAAAAUAAUUCUCGAUGACUUGAUAAUCCUGUGAAGAAGUUCCUUUCGAACUAUCGAUAGGAGUUAGAAUAAGAUUGCAACCAUCACUGCCGCCUGAUGAAUAUUUCGGAAAUGCAAUUCUAUAAAGCGGGAGAUCAAAUUGAAUAUGCGGCACUGCGAAUGAGCAAUGUUAGUGAAACUGAUAAAAUGUGAAGAACAGAGGAAACGAGUACAUGCUGUAACUAGGGGUGGGCAUUUUACCCGACCCGACCCGACCCGAAAUUUAUCGGGUCGGGUCGGGAUCGAAACCUGAUCGGUUUGAAAUUUACAAACCCGAUCGGGUUGUGAUCGGUUCGGGUCAAACCCGACCCGAUCCGAAUACCCGAUCGGGUUCUUAAAAAAAAAAAAAAACGUACUGACCUGAAUUGACCUGAUUUCAACCGACCCGAACUGACCCGAAUUGACCCGAACUGACCCGAUUUCAACCGACCCAAAUUGACCCGAACUGACCCAAAUUGACCCGAAUUGACCCGAACUGACCCGAACUGACCCGAACUAACCCAAAUUGACCUGAACUCAAUCCUACCCAUUUUAAAUCCAACCCGAUCCAACCCGAACAUAGUUCGGGUCGGGUCAUUAAUUCGGGUUAUGUUCGGAUUGUUCCUUGUCUAACCCGAACAACCCGAAACCCGAUCGGGUUGACCCGAACCCGACCCGAACCCGAUUUUGCCCACCCCUAGCUGUAACUAUGUAUUUGACAGCAGCUGAAUAGCUCACUCAGCUGACGUGGCUUAGUUAGUUAUUUUGAUUUAAGCAUUCUUCACAUGUGUGUAACAAAUUGCCAACAAUUAGUAACAAGUUGCUUUCACUUGCUAUAUAUAUGUAUAAUCUGUACUCAUUCGAUUAAUGAGAAGUUUUUACAAGUUUCCAUUAUGAGUUUUUCAUUCAUUUUCCUUUUAACUUUCUCGCUUCCCAAACACAAAUACUUGAGUUUCUAUCAUGGUAUCAGAGCCAUCAAUGGUGUUGUAAAAAAUUUUAAUAUACUCGUAAGCGCACGAAUGUAGAAUAAAAUAAUGGUAAUAAGGUCAAACCCACAGGGAUUAUUAUAAAUUAAAAAGUCUAAUUUAAAUAAAUUAAUAUUAAUUCUAACAUAGUUGAACAAAUUGAGUUUCUAAUAAAAUUUAACCAAUUAAACUAAGAAAACAAUUAAAACAAAGGAGAAUUUAAUAAGACAAAAAUUACUAAGGUUUCAGAAUCCACCACUAAUCAACUAGUAAUUACCUAAUUAUUAAUUAAUCCCCAAUUUUAGAGUGACAACUCGAAAUCAAUUUAUAUCAUCUCAUGGAUAUAACAAUUAAGCCCAAAUAAAAUUAUUCUUGUGUUGGUUCUUUUUCUUCUUAAUAAUAUGAUAUCUAAGCAUCCCAUGUAAACAUAUUGAAUAACAAAGAGUCAAAGUUUUCCGAAGCACUCUGUGUAAACAAUUUAAUGAAAGACACAGAAUCAAAGAUAAUCAUGUAUAAACUUUAAAGACUCAAGCAUAAAUUUAAUCGGAUAUUAAUUGUAACAAUCAAUAAUACAUGACAGAAUUGAUGAAAAAAUUUUAAUGCCCUUUUUAUCCUUAAUCUUUAUUCCUUCCCAAUUUGAACUUCUUCAUGCCCUUUUUAUCCUUAAUCUUCAAUUAAUUUCCUAUUCAAUAAAAUAAUUCAAUUAAUUAAAAAUAACAAAUAAAAAUAACUAGUAAAUAUGUAAUUACGGGUAAAAUAUGUAUAUAAAUUAUGAUCAUCAAAUGGCAAGCAUGAUUCAAUCCAAUACAUCCUCCUCUCCUUCAAAUAAUUCCCUACCUCAUAUCAUUCCUGCACCUCCUCCCAUUGGUCAUCCUAUGAUGACCAGAUCCAAGAAUGGCAUAUUCAAGCCAAAGUCUUAUCUAUGUGCUCUUUUAGCCUAAUCAUUUGAACUUUCCUCUGUCUCUCAAGCUUUAUCUGAUCCAUUAUAGUUCAAAACCAUGCAAGAAGAAUUUCAAGCCUUACAAGCCAAUCACACAUGAGACUUGGUACUACCUACUGCUCCUGUUAAAGUGGUUGGUAACAAAUGAGUUUUUAGAAUAAAAUACAACCCUAAUGGGUCAAUACUAAAGUACAAAGCACGACUGGUUGCUAAAGACUUCCAUCAGAUACAUGGUCUUCAAUUUUACAAUUGUGGAGCUAUGCAGAUCAACUCUUUUACAUAUUCAGAUUGGGCUUGUGAUCGGGAUGAUAGAAAAUCAGUAGUUGGUUUUGCUGUUUAUCUAGGUGCCAAUCUGGUUUCAUGGUCAUCCACGAAACAAUUAGCUGUCUCAAGGUCCAGUACAAAAGCUGAGUACAGAGCUUUGGCUCAUGCUGCAUCAGAGGUCAUUUGGAUAUAGUUUUUACUUGCUGAGCUAAGAAUUCAACUAAGUACUACACCAAUUAUGUGGUGUGAUAACCAGGGAGCAAUUGCCUUAGCUUAUAAUUCAGUUUAUCAUGCUAAAACAAAGCAUGUUGAGCUGGACAUUCAUUUCAUCAAAGAUAGAGUGGGAUAAAAAGAAAUAGCUAUUUUUUUUGUGCAUAGUGAAGAUCAAACAACAAAUGUCUUAACUAAGGCUCUUACUUUCACUUAGUUCCAUUGCUUGCGCAGUAAAUAAAAUGUUUAUCCCAGAAACACCAGUUCCAGAGGGGAUAUAAGUAAAGAUGAUAAUUUGUGAAGAAUAAAAGAAUGGAGUAAUGUGAAAAGCAGAAACUCCAGCUUAAGAGGGGAUGUUAGUGAAACUGAUCCCUUGGAGUCCUGGAGACAAAACCUUGUGGUCUUAACAUGGGAAAGCUAGAAGACGAAAUCUUAUUGGUUUCCAAAUAGUUCGUCGAGGUUCAAUAGCAAUGAGAAGUGGUCUAGGGAAUAAAGCUUAUGGAAAUAUCACUUUGUUUACAGGAGUGGAAGAAGGUAAUAUCGACAUUGAAGCUUGCUUUUUACCGGAGACACAAUAGGGUAUGGGACAUGAUACAGAGUUCAUGCCAUCUACGUGUUAACGUCUUUGGUGAUCCUAAAAUAUUACUUUCUAAUAAUUCAUUUACACGUUAUCACGUGUAAAUGAAUGGUAUCAUAAUUAGUUAAAAGCACACAAAUGAUAAAAAGUGAAUUCAUUACUAUAACUAUGCUUUAUUUAGGCACCUCAUGCAAUAAAUUAUUUCAUCUCAAAACUCAAUUUAAUAAUUAAUCCCAUGAACAUCCAUUCGUUAGAGCAUGACAACAAAAUUUCUGUAUGGCAUCUGUGGCAGAGCAUAAUAGCUGUAGAGAAAUGGAAAUUGAAAGGAAGGAGCUGGUAGCUUAUAACUGUGAUUCAAGUUUUUGCUUUAGAAUCUUUCAGAAAAAAAAAGUUUUUGCUUUAGAAAUUUUUUGACUCGACCUAGUAAACUGGUCAAUACCUCACGAGCUCAUUAAACUAUCAAAUUUGGGGCCCAAUUUGAUGGGCCUAGUUGGUUGCAGUGUUGGGUCUAGUUAGUCUCAACAAAUACUGGUCGUAGCCUUGUAGGCAGUUCGCAUUAGAGAUUUAUGAUGAUUGUAAUGUGUGAAUGAGUAAUAGAAAGCUCUAUUUAUUGGCACAAGGAGUAACCUUUGUGCGGUUGUGCAGAUAAAAAGAGAAAACAUGUAGUGGGUAAUAUGAAAUUAACAGUAAUAUGUUGUUAUAAACACGAUUAGAAAACUCAUGAUUUAAGCCAUAAAAGCCUUCAACUCAACACCAAAGUAUUCAGGGAACUACACUCAUGGUUUGAAUAGAAAUGCACAACCAUGGUUCUAAUACCAAUGGCUAAAAUAAUUUUAAGCUUUACGGCAAUGAAUCCAUUCAACAUAUUUCAUAAGGGAGAAAAACUGCAUUUUAUCUUGGUUGGCCAUGAAAAAGACUUGCUGGUCAGCUUGUUUCUUGCCCGUUAAUUCAACCUUUUGUUCUUGGCUUCAAUCUCAACAGCAAAAUCAAGCUCCUCAUUCACUGCACACACACACAAUUAGGAGAAAGGAGAAAAAGAAAGACAGUGUAUAAUGAAACUGCAUUUUAAAGAAAUGUGUAGAAAACAAUCAAAACCUUUACAGAAUUCUUAGUAUUUUUGUCAACACAAUACUUCUUCUUUUAAAGACAUUUAUGCCAUAGUACAAAACCUUAGCCUACAAGAUUUGUACACACAAAAUGAAAAAAGAGCCAAGUAAUUCAUGAAUAAAAAACAUAGAGCAAAGAAGGGAUAAGUAACAUAAACACGCACACAAAAUUGGCACAGAUGAACAAAGAACGAGUUGCAAGCUCUUUAUUACCGAAAGAAACGAGCCCCAUAUCAUAUGAUCUCCCUACAAGCUUUACAACGAGCUAUCAUAUGCUUUCUAACUCUCAAAGAUUAACAAGUUACAGGCCUUAGAAAUUGCCCUCGUAAAUUCAUUUUAAAGCUAAAUUUUCUUACUAUUCAUGUGAUGAGCAUAUACUAUAUACAUAUUUUACCCUUAAUUAUAUAAUUACUAAUUAUUUUUAUUUGAUAUUUUUAAUUAAUUAAUUAUUUUGUUGAAUAAAAAAUUACGUGGAGAUUAUGAAUAAAAAAAGGGCAUAAAGGAGCUCAAUUUCGGAAGCAUUAAUUAAUUGAUUUUCGGAGCAAUUAGGCAUAUUUGCAUGUGAAGCCAAGCCAAGGAAACCAAAUUAAACAAAUUAAUUCAUCCAUGCACAUGAAGACAAAGAAGAUUAUGGCCAUCACGUGAGAAGCAAUCACCAUUAUUGUUAGCAUGUGCAUGUCAUUAAAAAAGGAAUUCUAAUGCAAUUCUAAGUGGUGAGCACGUGUGAGAGCAAAACAAAUUAAAAGGCCAAGCCUUUCGGCUUUAGAAUUGGAAUGGUUGGUGGCUCAUUUUGGAGAUUAUAAAAAGAAAUAUGAACUUUGGCUUUUAAGAGGCCAACCGCGAGAAGAGAAAAAAGAGAGCAACGUUAGGCAUUCGGCAGAGGAGAAAAUAGCGGCAGAAGCUCUUUAAUUCUUUUAUGGUUGGUUUUAUUUUAUUUGUUGCUCUCAAUUCAAGUAUGUCUAGCUAAUUUUCUUUUACUGAGGUUAAAGAUGAAACCUUAUUCAAUGAAAUAAUUAUCUUUUUAUUUAAUGAAUUCCUUACAUGCGUGUUUUAAUGUUUAUGUUUUUUUAUUUUACAUGAUUAGUUGGAUGUUAUUAAAUCUUUUCAUCAAUUCUGUCAAGCAUUAUUGAUUGUUAGGAUUAAUAUUCAAUUAAAUUUAUGCUUUGGUCUAUAAAGUUUUUAUAUUAUUAUCUUUGAUUCUAUAUCUUUCAUUAAAUUGUUUACAUAGAGUGCUUAGGUAAAUUUUGACAUUUUGUUAUUCAAUAUGUUUACAUAAAAUGCUUAGAUAUCAUACUAUUAAGCAGAAAAAGAACCUACAUUAGAUUUAAUUACUUGGGCUUAAUUGUUAUAUUCAUAAGAUGACAUAGAUUGAUUUCGAGUUGUCACUCUAAAAUUGGGGAUUAAUUAACAAUUAGAUAAUUACUAAUUGAAUAGUGGUGGAUUCUGAAACCUUGAUAAUUUUUGUCUUAUUAAAUUCUCUUUUAUUUUAAUUGCCUUAGUUUAAUUAGUUUAAUUUAUCAUUGCCUUAGUUUAAUUAGUUUAAUUUAUCUUAAAACUUAAUUUGCUCAACUAUUUUAUAAUUAAUAUUAAUUUUAGAUUUAAAUUAGACUUUUCAAUUUAUAACAAUCCAUGUAGGUUUGACCUCAUUACCACUAUUCUAUUUUUAAAUUCGUGUGCUUGCAAGUAUAUUAAAAUUUUUCACAAUAAGUUUUUGGCGUCGUUAUCAGGGAUUGUGCCAAAAAGUCAGUUUAAUCUAGAUUGAUUUGAUUUUUCCACUAGUUAUAAUUUAAGUUGUCUUUUAUUUUUAUUUUAUUUUAUUAAUAAAAAACACAAAAAAUAUUUAUUUGUCUUUAAAUUUAUUGUUUGGUUGUUUGAUUUGUUAUAUUUUAAAUUCCGUUUAUUUUUAUUAUUGUUGCUUUAUUUUCCUUUCUUUGUCUAGUUAGUUUAUGAGUGUUUGGGAACGCGAUUCAACAAAUCGUUUGGUAAGAAAAGAGUUUAAAAUUGAUAGUAGUCGAGUUAGUUCUUCAAAAGUGAUGGAUGACCCAAAGAGAAUAUUGUCAGUACUUCCACCAGUGCAAACAGAGAAAAUCCUUAGAGAAUAUUUUUCACCACUUGCAGCCAACCAACCAUCUUGUAUUAUGUUGCCACAGACUACAGCAACACACUUUGAAUUCAAGCCCUCUGUCAUUUAGCUUUUACCAUCUUUCCAUCAAAAUUUUAAUGAUCAGUCAAUUAGGUUUCGUAUGUUCCCUUUCUCAUUAAAAGACAAAGCGGAAGCUUGGUUGAAUUCACUUCCUGCUGGGUCUAUUACUACAUGGGAUGAAUUAAGUAAUAAGUUCUUUACCAAGUUUUUCCCUAUGUCUAAAACAAAUGUCAUUAGGAGAGAGAUAAAUGAUUUUUGUCAAAGAGAGGGUGAACAAUUUUAUGAGUGUUGUGAAAGAUUCAAUGAUUUACUCCUCAAGUGUCCCCAUCAUGGUUUUGAGAAAUGGAGACUUAUACAGUGCUUUUAUAAUGGUUUAACUAUAUCAAAUCAUCACAUGAUAGAGUCUAUGAAUGGUGGGAGAUUUUUUAAUUUACAUGAAGGGGCUGCAUGCGAUUUCUUUAUUUUACUUUUUGAGAAUUCUCAACAAUGAGAUUUUUCAAAUCAAAGAAAAAAAUGAUCUCAAGUUUCUAGGAAAGUCUAUAUGAAGUUAAUGAUGAUUUUGAUGUUAAGGUCAUUCUAGCUACACUUUCUAGGAAAAGUAGAUGCCUUAACUCUGAACCAAUCAAUGAAUCAUCACCCUAGUGUACCUAAUGAAGUUUGUACUCUUUGUUCUAACUUGUCUCAUACAGCACAUAAUUGUCCAUCAUUACCAGCCUAUCAAGAGGCUUAUUCUGAGCAGGUACAUGCCUUACAAUCAUAUGAGAAAACCCCCAAUAAUCCAUAUUCACCCACAUAUAAUCCUAAUUGGAGGAACCACCCUAAUUUUUCUUUGAAACAAAGUCAGCCUUUAUCAAACCAAGGAGGACAACAAUUCAACGUACCCAAUCAACAAUUUGUCCUUUCUAACCAAGUAUAUCCUCCUGCCCAACAGCCUAUGUCUCAAUUUGUUACACCUUAGCAAAGAAAAUGUUCUUUAGAUGAUACACUUUAAAGUUUCAUUCAGUUAACCCAACAAGCUUUUCAGUCAAACACUCAAGCUAUUCUAAAGCUUGAACAUCAAUUGGGUCAAUUAGCAACUGCUGUGGCUGAGAGAAAAAAAGGAAAAUUCCCAAGUCAACCAGUUCUUAAUCCUAAAUGAGUGCAUAAAGUUGGAUCAACUUCAAGCCAUCAGUAUAAAGAAGCAAAAUCUAUUAUGACCUUGAGAAAAUGAAAAAUAUUUGACAACAAGGUGGAGGUUCGAACAAGAAAGACAUCUGAACCUACUUCUGCAGAUCCAGUUCCAUCACAAGACUCAUCACUAAAUGAUCCAGAAGAAAGUAAUCCACCAGCUUACAUUCCUAAGGCUUAUUUUCCUUAAAGGUUAACAAAGGUAAAGAAAGAGACUUCAACAUGUGAGAUUAUGGAAAUCUUCAGGCAUGUAAGUAUAAGCAUCCCUUUACUCGAUGUUAUUAAGCAAGUUCCUCAUAUGCCAAGUUUUUGAAGGAUUUAUGAACUAAAAAAAGAAAUUUGCAUGUCACCAAAAAUGCAUUUUUAACUGAACAAACUAGCAAUUUACUUCAAUAUAAAAUGCCACCAAAAUUUAAGGAUCUAAGUUCCCCUACUAUCUCAUGUGUUAUAGGGAACCAAUUGUUUGAUAAAGCAUUAUUGGAUUUGGAUGCAAGUGUUAAUCUCUUGCCUUACUUUGUUUACAUGCAGCUUGGAUUACAUAAAUUAAAGUCAACUUCCAUUAUUUUGCAACAUGCAGAUAGGUUAAUGAAAAUACCUCAUGGUAUUAUAGAGGAUGUGUUGAUACAGAUUGAUAAAUUUUAUUAUUUUGUUGACUUUAUUGAUAUUGAUACUCAGCAUGUACAGGAUCCUAAGAAACACACCCCAGUUAUUUUAGGUCGUCCUUUCUUAGCUACAGUUGAUGCUCUUAUUAAUUGCAGGAAUGGAAACAUGCAAUUAUCUUUUGGUAACAUGACCAUGGAAUUAAAUAUUUUUAAUGUUCCUGAUAACUCUAGGAAAUGAGAGUUAUUACAUCAAUUCUAAACUUAAAUCAAGAUCACUUAGAGAACAAAUAAGGUGUUUUUAUUACAUUUUGGUUAUAUUUUGCAUAAACAUUCAUUUUAGUUAAGUUUUAAUAAGUUUUGUUUGAAUCAAAGUAAUUGGUGCUAAAAACAGGUGCAUAAUUGUAGCUUUUCAGAAAGUCUUAAUUCAUGAGAGGAUGGUGAGACAUUAGAUGAGCAAGAGGAGGAAAGAAGAUAGCCGCAAAAGAAGAAAAGCACAAUGGGGAAUAGUACAGUAUUGUAGCGGAUGUUAAAGCAACCAGUGCUAUAACAAUCUUGGAGCAAUGCUGGAGAAAAUUCAGGCGCGGGUCAGCUGCAGAAUCGCGAUUUGCAUGUUUCCUAAUUUAACUCAUGCACGCUUAUGGACUUUUAUUUUACUCUAGUUUGCAGUAUAAAAGAGAGGCGUGCACCACAUAGAGAGGCGACAAGAGGAAUUAUCAUAAAAAAUCAUUAGAGAGAAAAAGAGAAGAAGAUCAGAAUUGAAGAGUGUUGUUUCGGCAACAUUGAGGAAUCUGGUAGAAUUAUUCGAAUUUGUCUUUCACUGUGCUCAACUGAUAUUUAUCUUCCUCCUUUGAUUGUUUUAAUGUAUCCCGUGAACAACAUAUUUUUGUUUGUUUUUCUUAUUCAGAAUAUGAACUAGAUUUGCUUGUAGUUGAGUGACAAACAAUCCAAUGGGUUCUUGACUGUUCUUAUGUGUUGUUAUGUCAUUGCUGUAGUAUUAUACUCUAAUAGUUAUUAUUAAUAUAACUGUUAUUUCGGUUGACCACCCAUUUAAUAGUUCCAGUUAAGAUAGAGCAGUAAAAGUGCAUGUCUUAGCGGACAUUAUUAGAAUAUUACUUGAUCUUAAGUUAAGUUUCCUAGAUUAAGUUAUCUUGAAUCCCAUAAGGGCAAUGACAUAACAACACAUAAGUGCUCACCUUGUAGGGUGGAGAGAUAAAAAUGGAUCAUAAAGCCAUAUCAUGAGUAGAUUAGCAACUGGUCAUUGCUAGUGUAUUUAAGGGUAUGAGAGUUCCAAUAUGCGACAGCUGAGGAUGCAGAUUAAUUCCGCCCAGUGCUGCAGCACUUGCCGUAACAAUUGGAGUCCACUUGAUGAAAAACAGUCAGCCCAUAAGGAGAGUUUGAUCAUUCAACUACCAUGUUCUUACUUGAAUCUUAGACACAUUCAGUUUAGUUUAUUUCAUUGUGGUUUUGUUUAUUUUAUUCUCUCACAAUAAUUAAUUACGAUAGAACACAUUUUACGUUUGUUAACUUCGGAUUUGAAUUAGUUUGCACUAUUGUGAUUGCUACAAUAUUUUUGGUAACAUCAAUCCCUGUGGAGACGAUCUUGAAUACUCAUCACUUUAUUACUUGUUGUGUACACUUGCACAUUAACAAUAAUAGCAUUUGAUUAUAAAAUCAACCAAUAAGUUUUUGGCGCCGUUGCUGGGGGUUGAUUAUUUAUUUUUGAAGUGUGAAGUAAAUCUUGAUAGCACCAAAUUUGAUUUAAUUCAUUCUAUUUAUUGGCAGAUCAAUACUUGCAUGCGCAAAGACAGAUCUGUGAUAUUUCAGUUCGAUCCUGAGAUUGAAAUGACUGUUAGGAGAUUGCGAAGAGAACAAAGGAAGUCAAAAACUAUUUCAAGCAUGAAUAAUUUACAGGAUGAGGGAAAUUGAACCCUGACGGGCCCUUAUAACCAGUUAACAUUCAAGAAGAGCAGAAUGAACAUGCUAACGAGAGACAACCAGGCAAUAAUAAUAUUAUUUACAUGGCUAAUGACAGAGACAGAGCUAUUAGAGAUUAUGCUGUGUUAACUCCUCAAGUUGUACACCCUGAGAUAAUCAGACCUGAAGUAGAAGCUGUAAAUUUUGAGUUGAAGCCAGUGAUGUUUCAAAUGUUGCAAACAGUUGGUCAAUUAAAUAGAUUACCAAAUGAAGAUCCUCAUCUCCAUCUUAAGUUGUUCUUGGAAGUGAGUGAUGCUUUCAAGAUUGCUGGAGCAACACAAGACGCCUUAAAGCUGAGACUUUUUCCUUAUUUCUUAAGAGAUCGAGCAAGAGCAUGAUUCGUUACCAUCUGAUUCCAUCACUACAUGAAAUGAGUUGGCUGAUAAAUUCCUAAUGAAAUAUUUUCCACUGACAAAAAAUGCAAAGUUGCGGAAUGAGAUAACUUCUUUUCAUCAACUUGAAGAUGAAAGUUUGUACGAGGCUUUGGAAAGAUUCAAAGAACUGCUCAGAAGGUGUCCUCAUCAUGGCAUUCCUUGUUGCAUUCAAUUGGAAACUUUCUACAGUAGGUUGAAUCCAAGUACAAGGUUAAUGGUGGAUGCUUCAGCAGAUGGAGCCCUGUUAUCCAAAUCUUACACUGAAGCUUAUGAAAUUCUGGAGAGAAUUGCCAAUAAUAAUUAUCAGUGGCCAUCAACCAGGCAACCAGCAGUAAGAGGAUCAGUAGGGGUACAUAACAUAGAUGCAAUUACAACCUUAUCAGCACAAGUAACCUCAUUGACUAACAUGGUAAAGGCCAUGUUCUCUGCUCCAACAGUAGUGAAGCAAGUUGCAGAACUUUCUUGUGUAUACUGUGGUGAAGGACAUGACUUUGAUAAUUGUCAUGGAAAUCCAGCAUCAGUAACUAUGUGGGUAAUUUCAAUCGACAGCCUCAGAACAACCUAUAUUCAAAUACUUACAACCCUGGAUGGAAACAACACCCAAAUUUCUCAUGGAGCAGUCAGAAUCGAAAUGCUCCAGCAGUAAAUGGACAAAAUAUGAACAAUCAACCAUCUGGAUUUCAUCAGCAGAGUCAGGGGAAAAAACAUAGCAAUCAGGAUCCAAUCAUUUCACUGGAAGCAUUGAUUAAGGAGUACAUUACAAAGAAUGAAGCAAUUGUGCAGAGUCAAGCCGUAUCCUUGAGGAACCUGAAAAAUCAAAUGGGACAACUUGCCAUAGCAAUGAGUAGCAGGACUCAAGGAAGUUUCCCUAGCAACACAGAAGACCCUAGGAGAGAGGGUAAAGAACACUGCAAAGCAAUUAAUUUGAGAUCUGGAAAAAAUGUUAAUAUCCUAAUUGAUGUGAUUAACAAGGGUAAGAAAGUUAAUUCCUCACAAAAACCACCUCAAGAUGGAAGCAUGUUACAACAACCCAACCAUCAAAACACUAGUUACAUGGGCCAAGCUACAGCAACUGCAGAGGGAGUUCAAUCAGAACAUGUUGAAAAAGAAGUUGCAACACCAGUAGCCACGGCCUACACCAAGCCAAACAAACAGAGUUUGGUACCUCCUAAAGCUACCCAGCAGUUUAGACAUCCACCACCUUUCCCACAGAGAUUCCAGAAGCAAAAAUAAGACAAACAGUUCAGUAAAUUCCUGGAAGUGCUGAAGCAAUUACACAUAAAUAUACCUUUUGUGGAAGCCUUGGAGCAAAUGCCAAAUUAUGUGAAAUUUCUAAAAGACAUCUUGGCACGAAAGAGAAUGCUGGGAGAGUUUGAAACUGUUGCUUUAACACAGGAAAGCAGUCAUAUGCUCCAAAGUAAGAUUCCUACAAAAGUGAAAGAUCCAGGAAGUUUUACAAUAUCAUGCUCUAUAGGAACUAGGUAUACUGACAGAGCACUUUGUGAUUUGGGAGCUAGUAUUAAUUUAAUGCCAUUACCUGUAUUUAAGCAGCUGGGAGUAGGGGAAUACAGACCAACAACAGUCACUCUGCAAUUAGCUGACAGAUCUCAUGCAUACCCUGAAGGAAAAAUUGAGGAUGUACUGGUGAAGGUGGACAAAUUCAUCUUCCCAGUAGACUUCAUUGUACUAGACUUCGAAGCUGAUAAAGAGGUGCCCAUUAUACUUGGAAGACAUUUUCUAGCAAUUGGAAAGACUUUGAUAGAUGUGCAGAAAUGAGAGCUCACCAUGAGAGUAAAUGAUCAGCAAGUCACAUUUAAUGUACUAGAGGCUAUGAGAAGUCCUGAUGAAGUAGAAGAUUACAAUUUCCUAAGUGUUGUGGAUUUUGUUGUAACAGACAGAAUGGACAGAUGCUGCAGUAAUGAAAUCAACAAAGUCACCACCUUUGAGAAUGUAGAAGAGGAAGAUGUUGCAGAAAAUCAGAUAGAUUGGAUGAAAGAAAAGAAAUCUGAUAGGCACAACAGGUUUAUUGAGCAUCUGAAUCUUUCAGACAGGAAAGUAAAAAUAACUUUACCAUAUAUUGAAUCACCUCCUAGUCUUGAAUUAAAAUUGUUAUCUUCACAUUUGAAGUAUGUUUAUCUUAGUCAAAACAACACACUCCCUGUGAUCAUUUCUUUUACUUUGGAUACAGGUUGAGAACAGAGUUUAGUAGAUUUGUUGGGAAAAUACAGUAGAGCAAUUGAAUGAACCAUGGAAGACAUCAAGGGGAUAAGCCUAUCAAUAUGCAUGCAUAAAAUCCUGUUAGAAGAUUGCUACAGCAAUUCGGUGGAGCACCAGAGAAGGUUGAACCCUAUUAUGAAAGAAGUGGUGAAGAAGGAAACCAUCAAAUGGUUAGAUGCUGGACUCAUAUACCCAAUAUCAGACAAUUCGUGGGCGAGCCCAGUUCAAUAUGUUCCAAAGAAGGGAGAGAUAACUGUGAUAGCUAAUGGGAGGGAUAACUGUGAUAGCUGAUAAGAGAGAUGAACUUAUUUCUACAAGGACAGUGACUGGAUGGAGAGUAUGUAUGGAUUACAGGAAGCUUAAUAAAGCCACAAAGAAAGACCACUUCCCACUCUCAUUCAUAGAUCAGAUGUUGGACAGACUUGUUGGAAAACAAUACUAUUGUUUCCUAGAUGGGUAUUCAGGCUACAACCAGAUUGCUAUAGCUCCAGAAGAUAAGGAAAAGACUACAUUUACUUGUCCUUAUGGAACAUUUGCCUUCAGAAGAAUGCUCUUUGGGUUGUGCAAUGCUCCAGCAACUUUUCAGAGAUGCAUGAUGUCUAUUUUUUCUGAUAUGGUAGAACAAACUUUAUAAGUUUUCAUGGAUGACUUUUCAAUUUUUGGAGUGACAUACAAUGAUUGUUUACACAACUUGGAAGAAGUUCUUAAAAGAUGUGAGAUGACUAACUUAGUACUUAAUUGGGAAAAAUGUUAUUUCAUUGGGCAAGAAGAAAUAAUGUUGGGUCAUAAGGUGUCCAAGAAAGCCAUUGAGGUAGACAAAGCCAGGAUAAAGGUAAUAAAUAAACUGCCACCCGCCACUUCAAUAAAGGGUAUAAGGAGUUUUUUGGGCCAUACUGGAUUUUAUAGAAGAUUCAUUAAGGAUUUUUCUAAGGUAGCUAAACCAUUAUGCUCAUUGCUGGAACAUGACAAGCCCUUUCACUUUGACAAAGAUUGUCAUCAAGCAUUUGGAGAAUUAAAGAAAGCUCUGAUCACUGCUCCAGUAGUUAUAUCUUUAGACUGGAUGUUACCAUUUGAAUUGAUGUGUGAUGCUAGUGAUCAUUCUGUUGGAGCAGUAUUAGGGCAAAAAAAGGAUAAGGUUUUUCACUCCAUAUACUAUGCAAGUAAAACUCUUACUCAAACUCAAAUCAAUUACACCACUACAGAGAAAGAGUUGCUAGUAGUAGUAUUUGUUUUUGACAAAUUCAGGGCCUACUUGGUGGGUACUAAAGUGACUGUAUAUACAAACCAUGCAGCCAUCAAAUACUUAAUUUCAAAGAAUGAUGCCAAGCCAAGAUUAAUCAGAUGGAUCUUAUUGCUUCAAGAAUUUGAUCUGAAAAUUAAAGAUAGAAAAGGGACUGAGAAUCAAGUAGCAGACCACCUGUCACGGCUGGAAGCAAAUACAAGUACAUUGACAAGAAAUGACAUCACUGAAACUUUUCCUGAUGAACAGAUGUUGGUAGUACAUCAAGCACAGAUGCUGCAGUCAGGAUCUCCAUGGUAUACAUAUUUUGCUAACUACUUGGAAGUGGAUUGCUACCACCUGAGCUGAAGUUCCAAGAGAAAAAGAAAUUUCUUCAUGAUGUAAGAAGUUAUCAGUGGGAUGACCCACAUUUAUAUAAGCUGUGCUCAGAUCAAGUAAUACGAAGAUGUGCUGCAGAAGGAGAGAUUCCCCACAUACUGGAGUCAUGCCAUGCUGCAGCAUAUGGAGGACAUUUUGGUGGUCACAGAACAGCUGCUAAAGUUUUGCAAUCAGGUUAUUACUAGCCUACCAUUUUUAAAGAUGCUUAUGAAUUUGUUAAAUAUUGUGACAGGUGUCAAAGGACAGGGAACAUAACUAGAAGACAUGAAAUGCCAUUGACCAAUAUUCUAGAAGUGGAAGUUUUUUAUGUAUAGGGAAUAGAUUUUAUGGGACCUUUUCCACCAUCCUUUGGGAACUUGUAUAUCCUUGUUGCUGUGGAUUAUGUCUCCAAGUGGGUAGAGGCUGCAGUAUUACCUACCAAUGAUGCUAAAGCAGUGGUGGUUUUUCUUCAGAAAAAUAUUUUUUCCAGGUUUGGCACUCCUAGAGCAAUUAUUAGUGAUGAGAGUACUCAUUUUUACAACAAAGUCUUUGCUGCAGCUAUGGUAAAAUAUGGAGUCAGACACAAGGUAGCAACAACAUAUCACCCACAGUCCAAUGGUUAGGCUGAAGUGUCCAACAGAGAAAUUAAAAAGAUCUUAGAAAAAAUGGUGAACCCAACAAGGAAGGAUUGGUCUUUGCAAUUACAUGACUCUCUAUGGACCUACAGAACAACAAAAAAACUCCACUUGGCAUGUCUCCUUACCGAAUUGUUUAUGGGAAGGCUUGUCAUUUGCCACUAGAGCUAGAGCAUAACGCACAUUGGGCACUGAAGAAAUUAAAUUGGGACAUUCAUGCUGCAGCAGAGCAAAGAAAGCUUCAACUUUGUGAGCUUGAUGAAUUACGGCUAUUUUCAUAUGAAAAUGCUAGAAUCUAUAAAGAAAGGACAAACCACUGGCACGACAAGCAUAUUCAACACAGACAGUUCAGCCCUGGUCAACUAGUGCUGCUCCGCAAUACAAGACUAAGAUUAUUUUCAGGAAAGCUAAAAUCAUGAUGGUUUGGAAUUUUUAGGCUGUUAAAAUGUUAUCCUCAUGGAGCUGUUGAUCUUUUAGAUGAACAAACAGGUCACAAAUUUAAAGUUAAUGGACACAGGGUUAAGCAUUACAUACACCCAGCAACAGAUUGUUCAAAGGAGGUUUUACUCCUUAAAGAACCCAGCUAUUGAGCAGUGAAAGAAGGUCAGGCUGAAGGACCUUAAAUCAAGCGCUCCAUGAGAGGCAACCCAUUGUGGAGAUAGCCACUUCAAACCAAGUUUGAUCAUCUUUGGUUUUGUUGACGGUUCUCCCUUUCUUCCAUUUUAUUUAAUUUUGUUCUUUAAUUUAAGUUACUUAGUUUUAUCUUUUCACAUUAUUGCAUUUUUUUUAUAUUGCUAUCAUUUGAUCUCUUUAUUUUUAAUUAUAUUUUUAGAAUCGAUUUUAGUUUUUGUGGUAAGUAUGAGUGGCAUUAGAUUUUCAUUUUAACCAGUGGGGUUGUAUGGUGACAGAGUGCAGAGGCAAGCCACGUGUCAAAGAGCAUUGGAGGGACGUAUGUAAUCGUUGCUAGAGCAAGCUGCAACACCUAAUAUUACCAUUACAGUAAAUUAAAAAUUAGAGCCUCUCACUUACCGUUGGAGAUAAAUCAUGAUAGAUGGCGGCAUGGAUUUGGAUAGCAAUUGCGAAGAAAUCUCCGAAAUUAAUGCAUUAAUUUCCCUGGCCUAUGUUUUAGGGAUAUACAUAUUAAAUUCAAAAUAUUUUCUUCCCUUAUUUAUCUGUAGUUACCAGAUUUAUCUUCACUUAAAGUCCACUAUAAAAGGGAGUCACUGUGCGUAGUGAUCUACGGCACUAUUCCCCAUCUCCUUCGCAAAUACAACUCUCAUAAUUCUUAACCUCUUCUUCUCAUUUUACUCUCAGAUUGUUACUGCUAUAGCAAUGCCAAGGUAUAAGAAAAUAGCCAGCCGCCUCAAAGAUCCUUCACGCUUCCAGAGUUACCACGCCGAAGAAAAAUAUGAAGAAUUCGUAAGAUUCUGGAAGAAAAGUGGUUUCAAUUUCCAGAGCGACUCAUCGGAAUUGUGCAAACAAUACACAAUGCUGCAGUAAAGCGUGGAUGGUUGGACUUUUGCAACCACCCUCGAAAUCCUGUGCUACCAGUAGUAAAGGAAUUUUACGCCAAUUUGGUAAGCCCUGAUCAGCACAACAUUUGGGUAAGAAACACACUUGUUCCAUUAGACUCCCGCGUUAUAAAUGCUUUUUAUAAUUUACCUGCUGAAAUUAAUUGUGAGUAUGCCAAGUUGCUUGAUAAAUUGACCCCAAAGAAAUGGAACACCAUCUUCAUAACUCUUACAAUUGAAGGGGCAUCAUGGGCUAACGAGGAAGGGCGUGUAGUUAAUAGGAUAGAUUUGAAACUUAUUGUUAAGGUUGGGUGAAAUUUUUGAAAUCUAGGCUUAUGCCAACCACUCAUACUACUACGGUUUCACAAGAGAGGUUGGUCUUGUUAUAUGUCAUUGUUCGAGGGCUUCUCAUAGAUGUAGGUAGCAUCAUCGAAAAAGAAAUCAGGGAUUGUGCAGUUAAGAAUCAUAAAACUGAUGCUCUACUAUUUCCUUCGCUCAUCACCAGCAUUUGUGUAGUAUCCGGUGUUCGUCUUGACGUGAGAAAUGACCAUAUCAAGAAUGAUGGUGCCUUUACGACACGUACCAUUGAUAGAGUUGUUGGUGAGAGUACUGGAACAACAACUGAACCAACUACUGUAACAAGAGCAAGACGAGUUAUUGGUUUAGAAUAAACAAUUCAGGUGCUCAGCAAAGAUCAGCAGAGGGAAAAUGAUCGGUUUUGGAGCUAUUUACAGCACCUGAACAACCAACUACACUAAUUUGCUCUGUACAUGAAACACACUCACCGGAACUUCCUUGAUUCAUUGCUCCAGCAAUACAAUUU